AAACUGAAUCAUGCCUGGGGUACGGGAAGAGAAAGAGAGAGAAAGAGACUGUUUAAUAGAGUAGGCUAAUGGUGGGGAGGAAGCAGGCUGAUUUUACAUCUCAGAACUGUUGAGCCUGCAAAUAUUUCUGAAAUCACAUCUGGGAACAAAGCUCCGCUUUAAAUAAGUUCACCCAUGAGUGUUGCUAAGCAAUGGAGAGAAGGCAAGAGCAGGGGAGAGUGCCUGACUUUAGGAUUAGAGGGAUAAAUAGGAGAUAAAACACUAAGGCUCCUGCAUAGCCUUAUUUACAGCAAACUUUCAAGUACUUUGUUUUCCUUGCCUAUCUUCCAAACUGUUUGUACCACGGUUGAUCAGACCUGAUUCAGUGUUUAUAUCAAUGCACAUCCAGCACGCAGAGUUGUGCUGCAUCCUGGAGCACUGAGACAAGCAGUUACGCACCAGAACUGUCAACAUCUGUCUCUGGAUUAAACAGGAAGGAGAAAAGAAGAAAUCUUUCCUAUCAGCAGCAGCAGGGGUUGCUGCAGGAAGAUGAUAAUUCCCUCCUGCUACUCUGCUGACAACAACCAAGCUUCACAGGAGGAACAAGGCAUUUUAAUGAUGGAAUUGAAAAACACAGCAGUUUCUAAAGCUUCAUCUCAUCUUAGUUGGUUUACAUUAAUUUAAGGAUGAACUGGUUCACCUUGGAAUUAUGUUACAUAUGGAAGAUAACCGAGGAGGAAGAUUUCAUUGCCAUUUCUAGUGUGUCUGUGUGAUAGCAGGCAGGGUAUCUGCGUGUAUAAACACUUUCAGAGCAUCCUGGAUAAGCAGUGACCACCGAAUUCCUUAAAAGCACACUGCAAAACUUGAGAGCUCCCUUAAUACUAUAUCAUCUAUUUUAUAGACUGUGUGCUCUUUAAAUAUACACAGAAUUAGAUGGGAAAGGUGAAAAAUAUCUUAUUAACAACUGGCAAGUCAGGGCCCAACCCAGUGUCCGCUGAAGUCAGAAGACCUGUGACAGGGGCACAGGGGUUUUGGCUCUGGCUCUUUCAUCAGAUUAGCACGAUAACAAAGGCACCCCAUAACGGACGGCUGAGAGAUGCAAAUCUCGUGUCGGAGACAGUCAGGCACCCCCGGAAUUAACAAUUUGAGCACACAUCAGUUUACAGGCAGCAGCUUUGGGCAUGUGGCACAACAUCUGUUACAAAAACACUAGAAAGCAGACCUGCGGCAAACUGGACCGCUGCCAGCCCUCUCAAGAUUUGUUUUUUCCUGACAAGCCUGUCAGUAAGUGGACAGAUGGCAGCCGAUGCACUCGCACGACGGAUAGUUCAGUUAACAAUCAAGUAUGCUAAAUGAUUUCAGAUUCACUCGGCACCAGGCAUUGUAUUCUGUACUGAAUCAUUAGCACUGUGUCUUAAUAGAAAUAUAGUUUUGUAUUAAGAAACUGCUGGUUACUGUAUUUUACAAGAUGGUUUAUCUGGAACAAUUUGUCAGGGAACAUUAGAUGUGCUUUCAUGAAUAAAGUCAGAAUCUGCCAACUUUA